UACGUAGGAGGCAAGCGUUGUCCGGAAUUACUGGGCGUAAAGCGCGUGUAGGUGGUGGGACAAGUCUGCUGUGAAAGCGCCUGGCUUAACCGGGCGAGGUCGGCGGAAACUGUCCGACUCGAGGACGGUAGAGGGGGGUGGAAUUCCGCGUGUAGCAGUGAAAUGCGUAGAGAUGCGGAGGAACACCGAUGGCGAAGGCAGCCCCCUGGGCUAACACUGACGCUCAGGCACGAAAGCGUGGGGAGCAAACAGG
rnacentral:rRNA from 1 species